GAUGAAGAACGUAGCGAAAUGCGAUAAGUAAUGUGAAUUGCAGAAUUCAGUGAAUCAUCGAAUCUUUGAACGCACAUUGCGCCCGCCAGUAUUCUGGCGGGCAUGCCUGUUCGAGCGUCAUUUCAACCAUCAAGCCCCCGGCUUGUGUUGGGGACCUGCGGCUGCCGCAGGCCCUGAAAACCAGUGGCGGGCUCGCUAGUCACUCCGAGCGUAGUAAUACAUCUCGCUCAGGGCGUGCUGCGGGUUCCGGCCGUUAAAAAGCCUUAUUUACCCAAGGUUGACCUCGGAUCAGGUAGGAAUACCCGCUGAACUUAAGCAUAUCAAUAAGCGGAGGA
rnacentral:misc_RNA from 1 species